GGGAAUCUUCCGCAAUGGGCGAAAGCCUGACGGAGCAAUACCGCGUGAGGGAUGACGGAUUUUGGUCUGUAAACCUCUUUUCUCAAGAAAGAAGUUCUGACGGUACUUGAGGAAUAAGCAUCGGCUAACUCCGUGCCAGCAGCCGCGGUAAUACGGGGGAUGCAAGCGUUAUCCGGAAUCAUUGGGCGUAAAGCGCCUGUAGGUUGUUUAAUAAGUCUGUUGUUAAAGACUAGGGCUUAAAGCCUAGAAAAGCAAUGGAAACUACUAGACUAGAGUAUGGCAGGGGUAGAGGGAAUUUCUAGUGUAGCGGUGAAAUGCGUAGAUAUUAGAAAGAACACCGGCGGCGAAAGCGCUCUACUGGACCAUUACUGACACUCAGAGGCGAAAGCUAGGGGGAGCAAAAGGGAUUAGAUACCCCCUGUAGUCA
rnacentral:rRNA from 1 species